AGCGCAAUAGUAAGCUGUAAUAAUAUGAGUGAAAUUAAUAAUGAGACUGCUAUCUCUACUAAAAGUCAUGAUUAUAGAAAAGAUAUUGAGUCCGCAUGUUCAAUGUUAGAUGAAAAAAAUUCUAAAAACACUGAAACUAGUGUUAUGUCCUCAGAAACUGAUUACCAGAAGAAAAUGACAGUUUUUACCUCUACUAGAAAUAUGAACGAAACCGAUACCUGUGAUGAUUCAAGUAUGAAUGAAAAGAUUGAUAAUUCUAAGGAACAAUGUAAUUCUAAGAGUCAUAUUGACAUAACUAUAUCUUAUGGCAAUACUAAUGUAAUCAUAACCUGCGAUAAUAUAAGUGAAAUUAUCAAUGCAACUCCAGUCUCUACUAAUAAUCAUGAUUAUGAGAAAAAUUUUAAAUCUAUAUUUUUAUUGUCAGAUGAAAGAAGUUCUAAAACUGAAACUAACGCUGAAACUAAUGUUAUAUUCUCAGAAACUGAUUGC